CUUGUGCUCCCUCCGUCCGAAAAUACUUGUCAAAGAAAUGGAUGUAUCUAGACAUAUUUUAAUUCUAGAUACAUCCAUUUUUAUCCAUUUCGGCGACAAGUAAUUCCGGACGGAGGGAGUAUUUA
rfam:Triticum aestivum genome assembly, contig: Triticum_aestivum_CS42_TGACv1_scaffold_603756_7DL